CAGUCGCCGCGGGAAAACGAAGGGUGCAAGCGUUACUCGGAAUUACUGGGCGUAAAGCGUGCGUAGGUGGUGGUUUAAGUCCGUUGUGAAAGCCCUGGGCUCAACCUGGGAAUUGCAGUGGAUACUGGGUCACUAGAGUGUGGCAGAGGAUAGUGGAAUUUCCGGUGUAGCAGUGAAAUGCGUAGAGAUCGGAAGGAACAUCUGUGGCGAAGGCGACUAUCUGGGCCAACACUGACACUGAGGCACGAAAGCGUGGGGAGCAAACAGGAUUAGAUACCCGCGUAGUCCCUGUCUCUUAUAC
rnacentral:rRNA from 1 species